rnacentral:misc_RNA from 1 species
AAUAAGAAGGUAGACAAAUCAGCUUGAAAAAGAUUUUUACUGGUAUAUUGAACCUACGUAAACAAAAACAGGGCACGAGCCUUGUUUACAUGACGAAGAAUUGCGAGCCCUGUAUCUUGCUUGAAACUCAUCGACUGGCACCCAAAUUUCAUUUGAUCAUUAAAAAUACAUUCCUAAAGCAUUGUAAAUAAUAAAAACAGAAAAAUAAAAUUUGACCAAAAUCGUGACCAUGCCCCUUUAACCAAAACAAUUCAAUUUGCCAUACCGGGUACUGUGACGCAUAUUGUACUGUCUUGUGUUUUUGUACUGUUUUGUGAGAAAAAAUGUUCAGAAAACUCAUUUUUGUACUUCAAGGUCAGAUGAAAAAUAAAAUAAAAAUGCACACU